AAAUUUGAACCCGAAUUUGACCUUCGUUUCGUGUGAAAUUUCCAUUUCAUUUCAGUACCGCUUCCUAUAAAUACCUUUCUGUAUAUUUUCACUCUCUCACGCCCACACAAACACACACACAAGCCUCGUUUCAGUUUCCGCAAGAAGCCACCAUGAGAGGUCCCAGAACCGCUGCGAUUGCUCACAAGAAGCCUGACGCUGAGAUGCUGAAGAAACGCAAGGCCGAGAAGAACACGAAGAAGGACAAGGCGAGCAAGAAGGACCCAUAUGCUCCGAAGCGUCCCUCCAGUGCCUUCUUCAUCUUCAUGGAGGAUUUCAGGAAGUCCUUCAAGGAGAACUAUCCUGAUCAGAAAUCUGGUCCAGCUGUUGGGAAAGCUGGUGGUGAGAAAUGGAAAUCAAUGUCUGAUGCUGAGAAAGCUCCCUAUGCUGAAAAAGCCUUGAAGAGGAAGGCUGAUUAUGAGAAAGCUGUCCGAGCAUACAAGACGAAGCUCAGUGGUAAAGGAUGCAAUGAACCGAGGGAGGAAUCUUUUCAAUCGACUUCUGAGGUCCACGACGAGACAGGCCAGGAGGCGAGCUCUUAGGUAUACUACCCCUUUCCUAGCUUAAGAUAUUUACAGAUAAUGAGCUGGAAAGACGUAAGAGUGGUUUCAGGAAAUGAGAGCUAAGACUGUGUACAGAGGGUUCAGCAGUUCUGGACAGCUUUUGGGAUAAAGAAAUUCAAUUGUUCUUGUAUGUUUCUAGCAUUUAUGUACUACUUCCCACUCUAGUUGGUUGUUACGUUUGUGGUUUUCUAACUAUGGACAUGGUUUUCAAUAAUCAAUAUGGCUUUUAUUUGGCUUCUGUUCCCACUCU